GUGAAUAUAGCGCAUCUCUUCGGAGAGCGUGACCUCCACUUUCAACUCUGUGCAUUUUUUUGGCGAGGGAACGAGACGAAGCGACGCAAGUUGCAGACUCUCGCCUCUUGCGGCUCAUUUUAAACACUAGUUAAAGUAUGUAACGAAAUAUCGAAACAAAAA
rnacentral:misc_RNA from 1 species